rnacentral:rRNA from 1 species
GAAGGUCCGGGCGUUAUCCGGAUUUAUUGGGUUUAAAGGGAGCGUAGACGGCAGCGCAAGUCUGGAGUGAAAUCCCGGGGCUCAACCCCGGAACUGCUUUGGAAACUGUGCAGCUGGAGUGCAGGAGAGGUAAGCGGAAUUCCUAGUGUAGCGGUGAAAUGCGUAGAUAUUAGGAGGAACACCGGUGGCGAAGGCGGCUUACUGGACUGUAACUGACGUUGAGGCUCGAAAGCGUGGGGAGCA